GUCCCUGUAACGCAAUAUAUAGCGCGUUGGACUUCUAAUUCAAAGGUCGUGGUGUCAAAGCCCACCUGGGAUA